UAGGGAAUCUUCGGCAAUGGGGGCAACCCUGACCGAGCAACGCCGCGUGAGUGAAGAAGGUUUUCGGAUCGUAAAGCUCUGUUGUAAGAGAAGAACGAGUGUGAGAGUGGAAAGUUCACACUGUGACGGUAUCUUACCAGAAAGGGACGGCUAACUACGUGCCAGCAGCCGCGGUAAUACGUAGGUCCCGAGCGUUGUCCGGAUUUAUUGGGCGUAAAGCGAGCGCAGGCGGUUAGAUAAGUCUGAAGUUAAAGGCUGUGGCUUAACCAUAGUAGGCUUUGGAAACUGUUUAACUUGAGUGCAAGAGGGGAGAGUGGAAUUCCAUGUGUAGCGGUGAAAUGCGUAGAUAUAUGGAGGAACACCGGUGGCGAAAGCGGCUCUCUGGCUUGUAACUGACGCUGAGGCUCGAAAGCGUGGGGAGCAAACAGGAUUAGAUACCCUGGUAGUCCACGCUGUAAACGAUGAGUGCUAGGUGUUAGACCCUUUCCGGGGUUUAGUGCCGUAGCUAACGCAUUAAGCACUCCGCCUGGGGAGUACGACCGCAAGGUUG
rnacentral:rRNA from 1 species